rnacentral:rRNA from 1 species
AACGAACGCUGGCGGCAUGCCUAACACAUGCAAGUCGAACGAGACCUUCGGGUCUAGUGGCGCACGGGUGCGUAACGCGUGGGAACCUGCCCUUAGGUUCGGAAUAACUCCCCGAAAGGGGUGUUAAUACCGGUUAAUGUAUUCGGACCAAAGAUUUAUGGCCAUUGGAUGGGCCCGCGUUGGAUUCGCGAGUUGGUAGGGUAAUAGCCUACCAAGGAGUCGUUGCAUAGCUGGUAUGUUAAGAUGACAAGCCAGAAUUGAGCUGAGGCACGGCCCAGUCUCCUACGGAGCACAGCAGUGGAGAAUACUAUGCACGGAGCGAAAGCCUGAUCCAGCAGUGCCGCGGAAGAGGUGAAGGCCUUAGGAUUGUAAAGUUCUUUGACCCGAGGUGAUAAUGACAGUACCGGGAGAAGAAGCACCGGCUAACUCCGUG